GCCUCAGUAGCUCAAUUGGCUGAGCAAUCGCUUCGUAAGCGAUAGAUAAGUCCGCUAAAGGUUAUGGGUUCAAAUCCCAUCUGAGGCU
rnacentral:tRNA from 1 species